GCAUACGAUCUAUGGAGUGAAAGCGGGGGAUCGCAAGACCUCGCGCGAUUGGAGCGGCCGAUAUCAGAUUAGGUAGUUGGUGAGGUAAAGGCUCACCAAGCCAACGAUCUGUAGCUGGUCUGAGAGGACGACCAGCCGACACUGGAACUGAGACACGGUCCAGACUCCUACGGGAGGCAGGCAGUGGGGAAUUUUGGACAAUGGACGCAAGUCUGAUCCAGCCAUUCCGCGUGCAGGAUGAAGGCCCUCGGGUUGUAAACUGCUUUGUACGGAACGAAAAGGUUCUAUUAAUACUAGGAGCUCAUGACGGUACCGUAAGAAUAAGCACCGGCUAACUACGUG
rnacentral:rRNA from 1 species